rnacentral:lncRNA from 1 species
GUUUCACCAAGCUCUGGUGCUCCUGGAUCUACCUGCCUAAUUGUAACUUCAGACAAUGGACUUCCUUGAGAGCUGCACAAAGCUCCUAACAUUGCAUGUUGUAACUGUGAAAUGUAACUGCAAAAUAAGCAACCUUACUCAUACUCUAAACAAUAAUGUAGUUAUGGUACUAAUGACCUAAUGUAACCUAUUGGUAUAAAUAAACAUGGCCACUUGGACAAGGAGCCACUUUGCCACCUUCCCUGCUCUGCACCUUGUCUCUGUCUCCUCUUUAUAAUUAUUCCUUAGAAUGUAGUAAGACCCUGUCUCAAAAAAUAAAAGGAUAUAUAGAUUAGUGGUAAAGCACUCCUGGGUUGAAUCCCCAGUACCAAAAAAAAAAAAAAAAAAAGAACACAAAGUGUUAUAUGUCCAUUAGACCAAUCUUGUUAAUUGUGCUAUUCAAAUCAUAUAUAUCCUAGUUUUUCUAUUCAUUCUUAAUGUAUCAAUUACAAAAAUCUGUAUUAAAACUUUGCACUGGGGCUGGGGAUGUGGCUCAAGAGGUAGCGC